AACGAACGCUGGCGGCAUGCCUAACACAUGCAAGUCGAACGAGAUCUUCGGGUCUAGUGGCGCACGGGUGCGUAACGCGUGGGAAUCUGCCCUUUGGUUCGGAAUAACAGUUGGAAACGACUGCUAAUACCGGAUGAUGACGAAAGUCCAAAGAUUUAUCGCCAGAGGAUGAGCCCGCGUAGGAUUAGCUAGUUGGUGUGGUAAAGGCGCACCAAGGCGACGAUCCUUAGCUGGUCUGAGAGGAUGAUCGGCCACACUGGGACUGAGACACGGCCCAGACUCCUACGGGAGGCAGCAGUGGGGAAUAUUGGACAAUGGGCGAAAGCCCGAUCCAGCAAUGCCGCGUGAGUGAUGAAGGCCUUAGGGUUGUAAAGCUCUUUUACCCGGGAUGAUAAUGACAGUACCGGGAGAAUAAGCUCCGGCUAACUCCGUGCCAGCAGCCGCCGUAA
rnacentral:rRNA from 1 species